UAGUAAGGGCGACUGAAGCGGGAUUAGCUCACCUUGUAAAUCCGCGCAUGAACUUGCGCCGAAUUGUGGUCUGGAGACACUGGCAUCAACGGGCCGGGCCAAGUCCCUUGGAACAGGGCAGCAGAGAGGGUGAGACUCCCGUAUGUCUGGUCCAGCGAGCGGGUGUUGACGAGUCGAGUUGUUUGGGAUUGCAGCUCUAAGCUGGUGGUAAAUUCCAUCGAAAGCUCAACAUUGGUGGGAGACCGAUAGCGUACAAGUACCGUGAGGGAAAGAUGCAAAGAACUUUGAAAAGAGAGUUAAAGAGUACCUGAAAUUGCUGAAAAGGAAGCGAAGGAAACCAGUGCCAGCUGCCUCAUAUUUCCCGGCCCGCUUGCGGGCAGGGCGCUGUGAUCGGCUUGGUCAAGCUUGGUUGGUUUUUCCGGAACCGCUCGAUUGUAGGGAGUUUGCCCUGCGUGAGCCGCGGACGGGUCGACUGAGGUUUGACGAAAUGGUUUUCUUUCCCCCGUCUUGAAAC
rnacentral:rRNA from 1 species